GGCUCAGAAUGAACGCUGGCGGCGUGCUUAACACAUGCAAGUCGCGCGCGAAAAGGGGCAACCCUGAGUAGAGCGGCGAACGGGUGAGUAACACGUGGGUAAUCUGCCUAGGAGCGGGGGAUAACCUGGGGAAACUCGGGCUAAUACCGCAUACGAUCACGGGGCUUCGGCUCUGUGCUGAAAGGUGGCCUCUGCUUGCAAGCUACCACUCCUAGAGGAGCCCGCGCCUGAUUAGCUAGUUGGUGGGGUAACGGCCUACCAAGGCGACGAUCAGUAGCCGGCCUGAGAGGGCGAUCGGCCACACUGGAACUGAGACACGGUCCAGACUCCUACGGGAGGCAGCAGUGAGGAAUCUUGCGCAAUGGGGGAAACCCUGACGCAGCAACGCCGCGUGGAGGAUGAAGGUCUUCGGAUUGUAAACUCCUGUCAGAGGGGACGAAUGCUUGCGGGCUAAUCACCGUAAGCUUGACGGUACCCUCAGAGGAUGCCACGGCUAACUCUGUGCCAGCAGCCGCGGUAAUACAGAGGUGGCGAGCGUUAUUCGGAAUUAUUGGGCGUAAAGGGCGCGUAGGCGGCUAUAUAAGUCCCGGGUGAGAUCCCUCGGCUCAACCGAGGAACUGCCUUGGAAACUGUAUGGCUUGAGGCCGGGAGAGGGUAGUGGAAUUCCCAGUGUAGCGGUGAAAUGCGUAGAUACUGGGAGGAACACCGGUGGUGAAGGAGGCUACCUGGACCGGUUCUGACGCUGAGGCGCGAAAGCGUGGGUAGCAAACAGGAUUAGAUACCCUGGUAGUCCACGCUGUAAACGAUGGAUGCUCGGUGCUGGGGGUAUCGACCCCUCCGGUGCCUUAGCUAACGCGUUAAGCAUCCCGCCUGGGGAGUACGGUCGCAAGGCUGAAA
rnacentral:rRNA from 1 species